rnacentral:rRNA from 1 species
UACGGAGGGGGCUAGCGUUGUUCGGAAUUACUGGGCGUAAAGCGCGCGUAGGCGGACCUGCAAGUCGGGGGUGAAAGCCCGAGGCUCAACCUCGGAACUGCCUUCGAUACUGCGGGUCUCGAGUCCGGGAGAGGUGAGUGGAAUUCCUAGUGUAGAGGUGAAAUCCGUAGAUAUUAGGAAGAACACCAGUGGCGAAGGCGGCUCACUGGCUCGGUACUGACGCUGAGGCGCGAAAGCGUGGGGAGCAAACAGG